rnacentral:rRNA from 1 species
UACGUAGGGUGCAAGCGUUAAUCGGAAUUACUGGGCGUAAAGCGUGCGCAGGCGGUUCGCUAAGACAGAUGUGAAAUCCCCGGGCUUAACCUGGGAACUGCAUUUGUGACUGGCGGGCUAGAGUAUGGCAGAGGGGGGGUAGAAUUCCACGUGUAGCAGUGAAAUGCGUAGAGAUGUGGAGGAAUACCGAUGGCGAAGGCAGCCCCCUGGGCCAAUACUGACGCUCAUGCACGAAAGCGUGGGGAGCAA